CCUACGGGCGGCAGCAGUAGGGAAUCUUCCACAAUGGGCGAAAGCCUGAUGGAGCCACGCCGCGUGGGUGAAGAAGGUCUUCGGAUCGUAAAACCCUUUUGUUAGAGAAGAAAGUGCGUGAGAGAAACUGUUCACGUUUCGACGGUAUCUGACCAGGAAGCCACGGCUAACUACGUGCCAGCAGCCGCGGUAAUACGGAGGUUGCAAGCGUUAUCCGGAUUUAUUGGGCGUAAAGGGAACGCAGGCGGUCUUUUAAGUCUGAUGUGAAAACCUUGGGCUUAACCGGAGUAGUGCAUUGGAAACUGGGAGACUUGAGUGCCGAAGAGGAGAGUAGAACUCCAUGUGUAGCGGUGAAAUGCGUAGAUAUAUGGAAGAACACCAGUGGCGAAGGCGGCUCCCUGGUCUGUAACUGACGCUGAGGUUCGAAAGCGUGGGGAGCAAACAGGAUUAGAUACCCUAGUAGUC
rnacentral:rRNA from 1 species